UUGUGUGCUAAAGGUUAGGAAGAACGGCAAGACCCUAAUCUUCCCUUCUGGAAGACCUCCCUGGGAGUAAUUUUGUUGUUCUGGCUUCUGCUUAUCCGUCUGCGCAUACGUAGUGCAGUCUAACACCUGUUGUAUUUCGGUGUAGGUUGUUGGUGAAGUGUCUGUCUUCUCCUAUUAAGACGCAAGUGCCUUGACGUGGAAACCAUGGUUUAUUGAUUUUUUUUUUUUUAACGCCAAGGACCUCCUGCACUAAAUGCCUGAAAUCAAGUAAGUGGGCUAUCGAUGUCUGUUGAAUGAUUGAUUGCUGGCUGUUUAAUUUGCAAACCCAUGCCUCCUAUUAAGUAAAUAAUGCAAAUAAUGCAAAUGUCACCUAAUCAAGAGGUCUUCCAUCACUGUUAUUCUUUAUUCUCUCAACAGUUUUCUUUUUCUUCGUCCCACCUGAAAUUAUGUUUUUUAAAUUUUAGUUUGUCUUUCCACACUAGAAUGUAAACUCCUCCAUGAAGGCAGGGAUUUUGUAAGACUUUAUUACUUUAGAGCAGUUUCAGGUUCACAGCAAAGUUAAGAGUAAGAUACAGAGAUUUCCCAUUUACCCCUUACGGAAGGGGUUUUGUAUUCACUGUUGUAGCCCUAGUUCAUAAUAUGCCAUUACAAGUGGUAGGGGCUCAAUAAAUUUUUAUUAUUGAUACAGUAAUAAUGUCAUAGACUCAAUUACCUUUAGAAGUUGUAUUUUCAUCAUUUAGGUCCUAUAAAAUUGAUUAGUAUGUAAAUCCCCAGGCUCUGCUACUCAUUUUAGCCUUACUUACGUAGCCACUGGCUUUUUUGUUUUUACGAACAUAAUUUUGUUUUGAACUUUUGAACCCAUGUGGCAACUUGGCUUUUGACAAAGCUAACAGCUACUAUUGAUACAAAAUUUCUGAUUUAAGCGGGGUCUGAGGAUGAUGGGGAAGUUUGACGCUGGGGCUCCAGAGCUAUGCUUCCUAUUAGGGUUAUUUUAGAUAUUCUCUUCCCACUGUGAUUUUUUCAGUAAAAUAAUUUCCCUUUUCCCCUUGUACAGAACAAGUUUUCCAGCACCUCCAUGCCUAUUUCUCAAGUGCCUGACACCUAGAGGAGCAUUUUUCAUACAUCCAGGACAUGACAUUGAGGGGUGACACCUUUCUGGGGGUGACAGUUUGGCACAGGAUAGACUUUCCUUCUGUUUUGUAUUUCUACUGCAAUUUAAAUGUUUGAGUAACUGGUCAGUUGGUCAUGAACUGCAUGUACUUGACCUUUAACAAUGAGACCUAGGGGUCUCACGUGUAGUUGAAAAUCUGCUUACAGCAGUGACUCCCCCAAGCCUUACCGAUCACAUCAAUAUUCAAUGAACACGUAUUUUGUAUGUUAUAUAUAUUAUACUGUAUUCUUAUAAUAAAAUAAGCUAGAGAAAGAAAAUGUUACUAAGAAAAUCAUAAGAGAAAAUAUAUUUACAGUUAUUGUACUGUAUUUAUAAAAAAACUGUACAGUUCAAGGGUCAACUGUAUACGUUUAGAAACUUUUGUACACUCUUGGGACAAGAUGGGGGAGGGAAUUAAGGGGACCAGUGUGCUUUACUGAAGAAUGAUACUUUGUUGCCAUUAAUAUCUUUGUAACCUCUCUUCCUACCACCAUAACAUGGAUACAAGGAUAUUUUUUCCUCCCCAAAGUAUUUUUCUGUUUUAAAUGUCCUGUAACUAUCCAUUGAUUCUUUCAGUAAAACUUCAGUACUUCAGUAUAAUCCUGUACUAACUUCAGACAUUCAAAAACGUAUUUUUAAUGUAUCAUAUUACAUGCUUAAAGCAUGCGAUGUCAUAUGAAACAUGUAAAACAAACAUUUACAAACCAUUAGCUCAAUAACAAUCAUAAUAUAUGGACAAAGUCAACCUGACCAAGCAAUGAAAAGAUAUUUACAACCAAGUGGAAAAACAAAAACAAAAUAGAAAAGAAAAAUAAAUCACCGCCUUGAAAUUUUCUGUAAAUAAUGACUUCUUUCUUUUUCUUUCUAAUUAUUUUAAAAUUUACAGAAGUUAUAUAAGCUUUUUGUAAAAAGUCAAGCCACUUGAAUACCAAUGGUCAUAAUAGUGUUACUCACAGGAAGCCAAAAAAGUGGAAACCAUCCAAAUGUCCGGCAACUGAUGAACGGGUAAACAGGUGAUGCAUAUAUACAGUGGAAUGUUAUUCGGCAGUACAAAUGAAUGAGGUGCUGAUGCCUGCUAUGAAAUAUGUGAGCCUCAAAAAAAUUAUGCUGAAUGAAAGAAGUCAAUCAUAAGAGAACUUAUAUCGUAUAAUUCCAUUUAUACGAAAUGUUCAGAAUAGGCAAAUCCAUAGCGACACAAAGUAGAUUAGAUGGGAGAGGAGAAAAUAAAGCACUGGGUGUUUUACACAACAAAUGAAUCGUUGAACACUACAGCAGAAACUACUAAUGUACUAUAUGUUGGCUACUGAACAUAAAAAAAAAGAAUAAUUGUUAAUGGAUACCGUUUCUUUUUGAGGGUGAGGAAAUGUUCUGGAUUUAGACAAUGGUGAUGGUUGCACGACUUUAUUAAAUAUACUAAAAUCCACUGAAUUGUUCAUUUAAAAGGCUGAAUUUAUGAUAUGUGAAUUAUAUCUCCAUUUUUAAAAUGCUGAAAAAAAAUAUUUAUAUCCUCCUUUAUUGAAUAAGAACGAGUGUGUCUUUACUUUUCCCUUCUUCACCCACCUGCCUUGUAGUGUCAUUCUGCUACUUCUGGGCUGCAGCAGAUUGUUGUAACUGUGCCCAGAGAGGCCGGCCCAGGGGACAAAAAGGGUCUAAAAUCUUAGCUGUGCACUCAUUCUACCUGAAAGAAGGGUGACUGUUUUUUGGGGGGGAGGGGCAAAGGGGGAGAGAGAGAAAGAGAGAAAGAGAGAGAGAAUCUUAAGCAGGUCCCAUACCCAGCACGGAACCCAAUGCCAGGCUUAAUCUAAGACCCUGAGAUCAUGACCUGAGCCAAAAUCAAGAGUCAGAUGUUUAACCGACUGAGCCGCCCACCAGCCCCAAGGCGAGGGACUUUCUCUAAACCAUGCAGAAGUGCUUUAAGAACUAGCAGUGGCCUUAAUCAUUUUAAUGGGCUUUUAGGGUAGUCAAGGUUGGUAAAUAUAUAUAGUCUACUACCUUGGAUUAAAAGUCAAACACUUCAUUACACUAUAAUACUCUAAUGGACUUACUAUAAUGGAUUAUUUUCCAGAAUGGAACACCCUUUGGCCCUCUCUUCAUAAGUCGGGUUGAAAAUUUUGUGAUUAAUCUCAAAAAGCACAUUUCUAGUUUGAAUGUGUGUGAUACAGUUCCUUUAGAUUGGCUUUUUUUGUUUAAAAAAGAUUCAGUGUGUUGUUCAACUUUACAUUAUGAUCCUCCAGUAGUUUUUAUGUUUCUAUCACUAAAGUACCACCACUACCAAGGGGAUUUCCUGAUAGUUACUUGUUCUAACAAUGCAACUUUUCUGACAGCAUUCUUGUAGAUUUCAAAAGAGCUCAAAUAAUAGUAUUUUUGACACUAAAUUUAAUCAGUGAGUCAAUGCACAUUUAUUGAAUUACUAUUGAAAAUAACACUCAAUUUCAAACAGGAAGAACCCCCAAACCAUGGUACUUUACAUAUAAAGUGCUUAUGUGCCUGGUGCAUAGUAGGUACUCAACAAAUAUUUGGAAAUAAAUCAGUGGAUCACGUGCAAUUUUGUUUAUUUAUGAUACCUAAAAAUCAGAUACUGGCUAAUAACCAUAGAUUUAAUAGGUCCUUAUUUCCAUCUUCAGAGAAAAAAAGAGAAAUUAUCUGAUGUAAAAAAAAAAAAGUGAUAUAAUUAGUGACUACUUCUAAGAGAAGUCCCAGAAUUCGUGCAAGUUAACAAUUGUUUUAGUGCUAAGUAUUUGCAGUGUUUUAAGCUGCAAAUUUUCAUCAGUGAUUUUUUUUUUUUUGGCUUCGUUUUCUGUUUGUUUGUUUAUAAGAGAAGUAUUUACUGUUAAGUUUCAGGAUUACUCAAAAGAAUUUCCAUAUAUAAAUCAAUAAUCAGUGGUUCUCAAACCUGGCUGCAUAUCAAACACUUAGUAUUUUGUUUUUGGUUUUGUUUAUGUGUUUGUUUCUAAUCCUAGAAAGGUGGAAUCCAGAAUUCCUAGACUAAUUAGAGCCACAUGGUUGAACUCAUGAAUCUUUGAUUUAAGAAGCAUCGUAAAUGAUAUUUUGGGGAGCCUGGGUGGCUCAGUCAAGCAUCUGACUCUUGAUUUCGGCUCAGGUCAUGAUCUCAGUGUCCAUGAGAUUGAACCCGGGCAUCAGGCUCCAUGCUUGGUGUGGAGCCUGCUUGAGAUUCUCUCUAUCCCACUACCCUCCCUCCACACUUUCUUUCUCUCUCUCUCUCUAAAAAAAAAAAAAAAAAAAAGCAUCCUAGGUGAUAUUUUAAGUUUCAUUCUUAACCACUCAAACUCUUUAUGAACAUUUUUUUCUUAGAAAAAAAUGGAAGAUUUCAAAUAAUGCUGAAUUCUCAUCCUGGUUCCCAAUCUUGGUUCCUUCUCUCCUUGCCUGACUUGGGAGCACUUCUUGUGCACAACUGAAAAAUUUUGUUAGAACUCAAAAAUAUAAGGCCAGAUUUUUAAUGUUGUUAUUAUGUGAAUUAGAGAGUACAAGUCCCAAUAAAGAGAGGGAAGAAUUGCCUUUUCAAGUAUUUAAGGGCAUCAUUUAAGAUGAUAUCUUACCAAAAGAAUCUCUUCCUUCUCACGGAAAAAAAAAAGUUUAAUUCCAAUUACUCUUAGUAAGAAAUGUGAGCCAUGGAAAUAGUAAACAUAUUCAGUAUGUGGGGAAAACAGUUGGUAUUCAGUAAACACCAAGUAAUUUAUUGGCUUGGCAAGGCUCCCUUGAACUCUAGUGUAUAGUUAACUCUUACUUAUCUAGGACCAGAUUUACUAUUUUGUAAAUGUUUGUAAUGUCAUUGAGCUUCUCCCCAUCAUGUUGCUAAAUUCCAGGCUAUCAGUAGUACUCCUGCAAGAGCAAUGGAAUCAAGUCAACAGUGGGCUAAUAUAGUUGGCUUUCAAAUCCUUAUUAAGUACAUCCUUUUUGUCACACAUUGUGUUAGGUUGAAGGACAAAAACCCUGCUUUUAGGGAGUUCACAGUCCUGUAGAAGAAGCAGAGGCAGACAAGAUACAACAACAACAACAAGACACUAGAAUACCAAUGCGCAAAAUUUAGGUUUUAAAAAAGCUUAUUCUUGUCAUUUCCAAAAAAAGAGGGGAAAGGAGAGAGGAAGCUGUGCUUACUGGGAAAGUUGCAACAUUCAGUUCGAAACCUCAGACUAACCAGGAGAGAAGACUGAGGAGAUGAGCUAAAAUUUAGCUUCUAGAUGAGAUCUUUUGCUCAUGUCUUAUGUUUUUCCUUUUAAAAAAAGUGUGUGUGUGUGUGUGUGUGUGUGUGUGUGUGUGUGUGUGUGUGUUUUGGGUGCAUUUCACGGUAGAAAAAUCUCUUGAAUAUUCUAUCGUUUACAAUAAAAAUUGAAAAGCAAAUGAAGCAUGUGGAACUGUUCUCAGAUACAGAUAAAGACAGACCAAAAUUAAAUCUUCACUUUCGCAUUUUGAAUUUCAACAGAGCUAUGGUACGUUUCUUUAAACUCUGAUGUUUGGCUGCACUCAUUUUCAUAGUAUUUUUUUGCAGUUAUCUUAGCAAAUGCUUAAGAAAUUGAAAUUGACAAAACCAGUUCCAAACUAGUAAAAUGAUCCGUAUUUAUUUCUUCAUUGAAUCUUUUUAUGCAUCUUCCAGUUUCUCCAUUUAUCAGAAUUCGAAGCCGCUGUUGAAUUUGUUGUCUUCCAUUUAAGGGUUUGGUGGUACAAUCUACAGUAAGAUGUAUAUAUAUGUAUAUAUUUGUAUAUGUAUAUGUACGUAUACACUCAGCUUUGUUCUAGACGCUGGAGAUACAACACUGAAAAUUCAGGAAAAUUUCCUGAGCUUGCCGUACACCAAGUUCUUUCCCAAAAUAGUCUGUAAAGGUUCUAAUGAUCUCUACAGCAGUAUCAAAAAUAAUUCCUUCUUUCUAAUUUGGAAAACAAGAACAUUAGCCAUUAUUUGUUUCUUAGUAAUUUUCCACAUGCCAGUCAUCCUAUCUUGGAACUUCUCAAUCUCAGACCAAACUCCUCUAACUGGUGUAUGACUUUUCCCAUGUGACCCUUUAAAUAAAUUCUAAGGUUUUUCCCAUAAUUAAUUAAUCUCAGAAAUCAAAAUGAAACAUGUCACCAGGGUCUUAUUUAAAGCCAAGAAAUUUAUUGGCUACCAUCCAGGCUUCCUUCUAAAUUAAACAACCCCAAACACUCCUCUUACCAUCCUUGCUUCUUGAUUUUAGGCAUUUUCUCCCCAGACAACUGGCGCAUGUAUAAGAGUUUUGACAUGUCUGUGUUUUAACCAAGAUCGCAUUUAUGUUUUCUUGUGAUGAUGCGUAAGGAAACUUUUCUCUAAAAUGUUCAU